GGGUUAUUUUCUUCUUCCUUACGCUUGCUUUCCUCAGUGAAGGGUUCAGAGAAGAAAACCCUCAGCUCAAACUCAGCUCACACUCAGAGAAGAAAACCCUCCAAGAGUCACCAUUCACCGCGCAAAGAAAACCCUUUCAGAAAACCCUCCUGCAUCACGCGAAUCGAAAACCCUCACCAUCGCGAAGAUCGCACCCCAGUCACCACUCACCCCCACUCACCACUCACCGCCACACACCACUCACCACUAACCACUAACCGUCGCUCCUCUUCGCCCUCCUGCACUGAUCGUCGCGCGCCGCCCAUACCGUCGUCGAUCUCUGCGCUUCUCGUCGUCCUCUCUGUGCUCACGUCGUCGAUUAGAGUUUGAAAAAAAAGGUUCUGUUUGCUUUACGUUCUUAAUUCUUAUGGCCAAUUUUGACCUUUCAAGAAAGCCGGAGAUGUUUGCUGGACCGCAGUUCACCAGCUACCGUGUUUAGGAAAGGCGAAGGGAUGAGCUUACAAGAAUGAGAUUGCAGCUUAGAAUUCCUGCAUUUGAAAGGGGUUUUUUUUACCUGUGAAGAUUCUGUACAGUAUUUUGAAAAUGGAUUUCAUAUUCUUAAAGUUCUUUCCAACUGCUGAGGAGUCAAUGGAUUACUAUAAUGAGAAAUGAUGUGUUGAUGGAAAAGGACUUGUUCUGCCCAGUCAGAUUAGGUAUGUCAAAUAUUAUAUAUGGAGGGACCAAAUCCAGUUUCAAGUGCACAAGGAAGCACGUCAGAAAAUUCAAGUUUGUUCUUAUCUUCAGUUGCUGGCUCAGUUCAUUAGGAAUCUUUUGCAUCCCAACAGAGAUUAGCAGGCCAUAAUUUUUUUCUUGAUUAAUUUUUUCCUUUGAUUUUUCAUUCAUUUUUUCUUCUCUUCUUAAUUUCCAUUUCUACUGAUGUUCUUAUGCGUUACAACAAUUUUUUGCUGUUUCAAUUUAUUGCAAUUUUUGUCCAAAAAUUAAAAGAACUUUUGUUAUUUGUUCUUAUCAUAAGUUGACCCCUUUAUGGUAUAAUAGGACAUGGUUUGCCUGUUUUGAAUAAAGAAGGUAAUCUGGCAUCUCUAGAUACUGAUGAAGGAGGUUGGGUCUUCGAUUCUUCAUCUUCUGAGGUUCAAUAUCCUGGAGUUCAGCAUAUCAUAAGACAGAUAUCCAUAACUUGCAAGCAUUUGCUUUGUACAUGCAAAAGGCAGAUAUCAAAUUUGAUCUAUGUUCAAUAACAACAGAAAUGGAAACAUAGAUUUCUUCAAGGACUUGAAACAGAUUCAGCAACUGUGAAAAAAAAUCAGACAAGCGAUUGACAACCAAACUGAAGUUACUGUACAACUCAUUAAUUAUACAAAGACCGCAUUUUGUACUAUCCUGAAUGGAGGAGGAGGAGCUAUUUCAAUAGCUCUUGUCUUGAAUCAAAAUGCUGCCAAGGUAGCUGCGGCUUCGGAAACUGCUGCAUUCUCCCAAAAUCCUGCACUUGUUCUUGCUCCAGUUAUCCCAAGGUAUGCCUUUGUUGCUGUUGUACAAAGUGCUUUUGGAGAAGUAUUUUCUGAUGUUUCUGAUGUUAGUAUUUCAAAUGCCAUCUAAAUAAUGCAGUGUCCAAGGCAAUGAAAAGAGCUAACUUCUUUUUCAUGUGAUUGGUUAUUUGGAUAUUAUGGGCUUGAUUGUGUAAAUGUGUAACUAUGAUGACAGGGUGAAGUGGAUGCUGUUUUUGUUCAUGCUAUACUAGCAGUGUGAAACUUCCAGUGUGUCUAGUGAUUCUUUGAUAGUGCUAGUUCAGUUGGAUUUUUCAUUUCUUCUUGCACUGGGAUUUCCCUAUA